AUGGAUUCCAAGAAGGGUAGGUCCAAGAUGCAGAUGGAUACGGGGGCUACAACUACAAGCAAGGAUACGGCAGCUGGGAAAAGACGAAGCAAAAAAAAGGUACCUGUGAUGGCAAAGAAGGCAGCGAAACCGAGCGUGAGGAAGAUAGACAGCACGGCGAAGGAAACGCGUCGCCGGGCGCCAGUAUACAAGCUGACAAUUCCUGUCGGCGAUGAAAAUCGCGACGAGUUCAACGAACUGUGGAUGGGAAUAUGGGGCGAUCUCAUCGUUUCCAUGGACCGAAAAACGACUAUACCCAGCGUGGGCUUCACGGACCUUGUUUCCCCCAGGGCCAGCAUCUGCACCGUCGACACUGUACAGCUCUUUGAAGUCAGAAUCCCAACAAAAGAGGCCUCAGGCUUAGUGUGGCCGCUGCAUGUGUAUGGUUUUAUCGCCACGCGUGAUUCGGUGGACUACAAGCGCAAUAUCAUCUUUGAGCGUGGAAAAGAUAACUGCCAGAUCGUCAGUGAGGGGUCUCCAUACCUAGCACUGACUGGGCCUGCACGUGCUGCUGUGCUGGUUGAUCCUGUCUACUUUGAGGUUGACCUCAAGGUGAGUGGAGCUGGGCAAUCCGAGGAUCAAGAGCUAAUCUACGUAGCCUCUCCGUUCAGGAAUACCCAGCCGCCUGAUUCAUCCCUGUUUACGUCUGUCUACACCAACAAGAUCAGCGCACUCGACUUGACAUUUGGCCACAUUGUUGGGUCAGUAGAGGCCUCAGUCAGUAUGAAAGUCGUCCAUGGGCCGUGGCCAGAUGGUUUCCGAGGCUCUUUUGCUGCAAGAACUGCCAGCAUAAAUGACAUGACAGUUUGGUUGCUUGAGAUCGGUGAUGAUAAUGGGUUGCCUCUUGCUGAUGAUGGCACCAUCAAGCUUCAACGCCAUGUUGUUUGUGCUGAACUUCAAAAACGAGAGUAUCUGGAAGUUUCUGUCAGCGCUUAUGGCGUCGGUGGGCAACGAUUUGAUGACGGUCUGCAUUUUACGCCUCAGGAACGCGGUAAACUUGAAGGUACAGUUAAUGUUGAUUCAUGUGAGAUUGAGGUCACUGUGACCUGGUCCCUAAUCAAAUUUUGCUAG
rnacentral:rRNA from 1 species